UAAGGAAUAUUGGACAAUGGAGGCAACUCUGAUCCAGCCAUGCCGCGUGAAGGAAUAAGGCCCUAUGGGUUGUAAACUUCUUUUAGACGGGACAAAACCCCUUUACGUGUAAAGGGUUGAUGGUACUGUCAGAAUAAGCAUCGGCUAACUUCGUGCCAGCAUCCGCGGUAAUACGAAGGAUGCAAGCGUAAUCCGGAAUUAUUGGGUUUAAAGGGUGCGUAGGCGGACUAAUACGUCAGUGGUGAAAGCCUGCAGCUUAACUGCAGAAUUGCCAUUGAUACUGUUAGUCUUGAGUACAGUUGAGGUAGGCGGAAUGUGUCAUGUAGCGGUGAAAUGCUUAGAUAUGACACAGAACACCGAUUACGAAGGCAGCUUGCUAAGCUGUAACUGACGCUGAGGCACGAAAGCGUGGGGAGCAAACA
rnacentral:rRNA from 1 species